rnacentral:lncRNA from 1 species
GGUAACCAUCGGCAAGUGAUGAUCCUUGACGUUCUUGAUGAGCAGAUUGAUGACCUUCCGUGAUUGUCGAAUCUGCUCCUCGUUGCACGGCUCGGCGAGCAGGGAUUGCUCAAGCCCAAGCUCCAUGCACAUCGCGCUAAACCUGAUUUGCCAGGUGGAGUAGUUGUGGAGGUCCAGCGGCUCAUCAAGCUUGUCCUUGACCAUUGUCGAUAAGGGAUAGAAAUAACAAUUGGGCGAUAGCUGUCGGCGCUAAGCGGGGCUCAUAACCUAUUGAAGAAUUGGUGACGGUGACGGCUAACGCUGAUUGUUAUUCCGGAAGGAUUCCCGGUGGCGAAGAUAUUUAGCACGAUAAACUGUUACAAGUAAUGUAAAGAGUAUUAUUAGCGUUCGGCAGGACUUGAGGAGAUUCCUAUGAGGAAUACCG